rfam:Nosema ceranae BRL01 Nc000245, whole genome shotgun sequence.
UAUGCUAUUGGCAUCAUAAAUUUUCCAAAAACACUGAGAAGAUUAGCAUGACCCCUGCGCAAGGACGGCAUGUAUAUUUUGGGAGCUUGCACCAGAAGUAGUUCUGGUUUUUU